rnacentral:ncRNA from 1 species
CUCACUAGGGGAGCUUUUUUAAAUAGCUGAGAAGGUGAAAACCUGACCCUUAAUACCCGAUCUGGAUAAUACCAGCGUGGGGAAGUGUAGU